rnacentral:rRNA from 1 species
ACUCCUACGGGAGGCAGCAGUAGGGAAUCUUCCACAAUGGGCGCAAGCCUGAUGGAGCAACACAGCGUGCAGGAUGAAGGCCUUCGGGUUGUAAACUGCUGUUAUUAGGGAAGAACAACAUCGGUAGGAAAUGACCGGUGCCUGACGGUACCUAAUGAG